UCCCGUCCGUCUCCUGGAAGGACCCCAGGUGAAUGGCUGUCUUGUGCCUGAUGCGAUCUCGUCCUCGUUCUGUCACCAGCGCUUUGAGUCCCAGCGUUUUAGUCUGUUCAUCAGGCGGUGGUUUUAAGGAGUCUAGGAUAAAUUCACAAUUCGAGAAGCAGAUUAAACUCUUCCGCUGAGUCGAGUAUUAGACAUGGAGGAGGAAAGGUACGGAUGGGGAAGAAGACUAAGAUUCUUUGCUUUGGCGCUGUGUUCUUCGAGUUUGGUGAAUUCAAAGAUGAGGUCAGGUCAAGAUUAUUCAACUCAGAAUUCUAACAGUGGAUCAAAAGGACCAGUUUGGAGAGAACUGGAUUGCCUUCCCUGAU